AGAUGUAAAUUAACUGCCAAAAAUUUGAGAAGAAUCAAACAUGAAGCUACCAAGAACUCAUUAUCUUCUGGUGUUGUCAUAUUCCAGAACUGCAACCUGCUUGGAAUUCCAGAAGUACAAGAUGUUCAGAACUCAGAGACAUGGUCAAGGUAAGGAAGGCUGAAACCUGACCACCACUGAACAAGACACACUGUUGAAACAUCGAAACUGGAUCAAGACAGAUUUGAAGACAGAUUUUUCAAAGCUUUUUGGACUGAUGAGAUGAGUGACUCUUGACGGACCACAUGGAUGGACCUGUGGCUGGAUCAGUAAUGGGCACAGAGCUCCACCUCACAUCAGACGGCAGCAAGGUGAAGGUGGGGUAGUCCUAUGGGCUGGCAUCACUAAAGAUGAAAUAGUUGGACCUUUUCAGGUUGAAGAUGGAUUCAAAAUCAACUCCCAAACCUGCUGCCAGUUUUAGAAGACACUUUCUUCAAGCAGUGAUACAGAAAAAUGUCUGCAUCUUUCAAGAAGACCAUGGUUUUUAUGCAGGACAAUGCUCCAUAACAUGCAUCAAACUACUCCACUAUGUGUCUGGCCAGUAAAGGUCUUAAAGAUGAAAGAACAAUGAAGUGGCCCCCUUCCUCACCAGAACUAAACCCCAUUGAGAACUUGUGGGCCCUUCUUAAACAGUUCACAUCUCUGAUCAGUGUCUGGGAGGCUGUGGUUGCUGCUGCACAAAAAGUUGAUCGUCAACAGAUCAAGAAACUGACAGACUACAUGAGUGGAGGACUUAUAACUGUUAUUGAAAAGAAGGGUGGCUAUAUUGGUCACUGAUUUAUUUUUCAAAUGUCAGAAAUGUUUGUCAAUUUUUAAUUGUAUAUUUAUUAUUCUCACUUUAACAGAUGACAAUAAACAAGUGAGAUGGGAAACUUUUCAGUUUAAAUUCAGUUGCCCAAUAAUCCUUCACAUAUAGAUAUUGUCUUAAAAAAGCCAAAAUCUCACUUUUAUUUUCUUAAAUAUUCAGGUCUGAGAGGUUAUUAACAUUUUGGAUUGACUAAGAGCACAGUAAAUGUUCAACAAUAAAAUUCAUCCUCAAAACU